CCUGUGCUCCGCGCCGACCGCUGCGCCUCGGUGGAGCCGUCCCACGUCUCCUCCUGGGGCCUGGAGGCUUGGAGGAACCAGGUGUGCAGGGCCAAGAGACUCACGCCCACCAGAAGGAGGGCCAGAGUCUUGGGGUUCAGGGACCUGCGGCAGGGGAAAGCCAUCUGUGGGGGAAACCGAGUCAGAGGUGAACCAGGAGUCGUGUUGGACAUCAGCGGCCCCAUCAGGGCUCUCCCAGAACCAGGCCCUUCUCGACUCUGCUGUUCUAGGCAGUUAAAUGGCCUUUGCUAGUCAGGUGAAGAGAGAAUGUCUGGCUCUCCACUCAAGCUGUUAAAGUAAUGCAAAGUGGACUCUUUUUCAAGGCCUUGAUAUGACUCCUGCCUACUAUCUGUAGUCUCUCUACAACAGCAGAAUCCAACAACUAUUAUUGAAUAUUGUAUUAGAUCCUGGGAAUAAAAUGGUGUGGAGUAAAGGAUUAAUAUCAAGGAUCAGCUUGAUGUAGGACUGGUUGAGAAUGACCUCAGUCUCGAAGGCUUGAAUGUAACAGUUAAGAUAAAUGGAAAAUAUUAUGUCUGCUUUGGUUGUGAAAGACCGCAUCUAGGUUGGAGGCUUGGGGUCUGAUGAGAACAGUAUGAAAGGUGUUCAUUAUAAAGAAUGAUAGGAAAAAGGGGCUAGAGCUUCUAUGUGUUACAAUGACCUCCACUACACAUAGCUCUCAUCUCUGGCAGGGUACAUAACUUAUGUGGAUGAGAGGGCAAAAGAGUCUGUGCAUAAAAAUAGCUCUGGAUCUCCUGAUGAGAUGAAAACAUUAUACUCCUAUAGUAUACUGCUGUAUACUCCACCAUGUAUCCCCUUAUCCCCUCUCUGAAGCUAAGUAAACACAGCAUUAGAUUAAAGAUGAUUAAAGGCUAAUUGCCAGUUUAAAU